UCCAGAGGCUUUGAUUAAAUCACCUGAGAAGUAAAUAUCCUUUAUCUCAAUCAUAAUUCAAAACAAACACAAUACUAAACUAGAGCUCAUGAGCAUCAAGCAAGUGGAUAAUUACUAUGAUCUCAAAAUUCUCUUCACCAAAUUUCACACAACCUCAGAAUUAAACCUAAAGAACACAAAAAGUUUCAUCAAACAAAUGUGAGG